GUUAAAAAUAGGAAAAGGAGGAAGAAAAAGGAAAAGAAGAAAGGAGAGAAAGAAAAGAAAGGAAUAGCAAUCUUAAGCUUCAAAAUUAAUCAUACCCUAACUGAGAAAUCGUCACAGAAAUUUAAAUUCACCUUAAAAUUCAAUAAAGUGGUUCACACUUAAAUACGCAUCUAAAUUGGUUGGUAAAACGGUUACUUGCAUUAGCUUGUUGCACAAGAGUCCGGAUGCGACAAAGAGAUCUUUGAAGAGUCAGUUAGGAUGGAGUCAGAUGUUCUUCCAGGUUCUCCUGAAGAUCAGAGCAGUUGUUGUUCUUGAAAAGUGAAGCCUGCCGGAAGAUCAUGGAGGAAGAGAGAGUCAUUUCCAAGCUGUUCCGAACGUCUGGCCCUCGGGCCCUUCCCUCGAGCGAGUUGACUUGACUUGAAGAUAAAGCUUGCUGGAAGAUCUCAAAAGGAUUUGAGAUUUCGUCCCAAAGAGUCGUGCUGGGCUGUUCUAAGCAUCCGACUCUCCGGGCCUUCGGGCUGCUUUACUUGCUAGUUGGGUUCAAGAUGUUUUAAAGGUCCUGAACCCCACCCAUCUUUGGGAGAAUGGCCAAUGCUAUGGCCUGAGAUUUUGGAGGGAGAAACUCCCUUUGUUUGUGCGUUUGUGGGCAUGGUUUCUGGGUUAUACCUGCUUUGGAGAACUUUGGAGAAGUUUUAUCCAAAGUGUAUUAAGACAGUAUGGUACAUUUCAUGAUCAAAUAAAAUGCACCAUUGUUUGCAAAAUAAGGAACAGAUAAUUUUGGUGAUCAUUUUGAUAUUAGAUAUGGAAAGCAAGGACAGCAUUAACACAGAGGUACAUUACAUACCAGUUAACAUUUAACAUACCAUUAACAUACCAGUAUUUAAGGUAUAACUUUCUUAAUACAAUGUUAUAUUCAGGUAUAUAAAAUGCACCCUUGUUAGGAAAAUAAAGAGAAGAUAAUUUUAUGUCAACUUUGACAUCAAGCAUUGAAAGAAAAGACAGCGUUUAAACGGAUGUACACUGUACCGGGACCAGUAUUUAAGGUAUAACUUAUGUUAAUAUAACAGCACGUCCUGAUUUUGCCAAGUCCUUGAUGCCCUGAGACCAAUAUUUUUUUAUGAUGACCCUGGGACAACAACCUCCACAGCCAAUCAGCGUUUAUGACGUCAUCAAUAUGUGCGACCCAAUUACAAUCACCAUUUUGCAGAGUCCGCCAAAAUACAAAAUAAACAACGGUUUGCACCUGCGCCGCACCAGUGGCAAACUCAGGAUGUGCCACCAGCAAAAAGGUAAGACCGUGCCUUAUUUUUUCUUAUGGUAUCAUUUUACAGAAGUAUAUUAAUAAUAGUAAACUUCAUAUUUCUUUUUAGAUUUGUGGGGAUUUCACAGCAGAAAUUGUAAUAUUAGUUUGAAUUGUCAAGUUAACCGCAUUAGCCUUUCACUGAUGUAGGUUACCGUUAACUUUCUAGCGCCAGUUAAAACAGUCUAAUAACGACUGUUGAUAGCUGUUAAAGAGAUGCGAUUAAAUAGUUGCAUUUAAAGACGAACGAAAUGCAGAACAAAGCAGCGCUAGUUUGAGCACCGCACGGAUCAUUCAGCUCUGACCACCAUCAGACAGAAUCUGAGUCCCUACUGCGAUCCGCUGUGAGAUCCAGAGUUUGACAUUAGAGGAAUUUAUAAAAACAACAGUCUACAGAGAAGAGCGCUUUAAAGGGAACAAAAAAGAGGCAGAUAUAACAGUCCAUGUUUUAGAAAAUCAUUUGGAUGCCUGUGAAUUUAUUCAGCAAAGACUCACUGCUAUAAACGCCUCUAAAGACGCCAACUUCAGGACUGUGAAUUCUGCAAGUCUUCUGCAAAUCAAAAACAUGGAUAUUUCUUAUUUUUAUGUAAGUGCUCUGGAGCAUGCACUCAACUAAGUCAACGUGCCAAAGGAUGCAAGGCCUAUGUUUCUUUUAAAAAGAGGACAGACUGGCUCAACAAACUAGUUAUAGAGAAAAGCUUACAGCAUUCAUCCAGGACACGACCCAUCAAGUUCUUCUGAGGGACACAUUAAGAAAACAUUAUUAAGAGCUUAUCAAGCAUAUUCAGGAUUUAAUAUCUCUUGGUGUUAAACCAGAUACAUUUCUCCUAAAAUCAUAUGAGUGGUCAAGGGAACAAGGACAUACUGUCUCAACAACCGAGCUUAUUUUGUUACCCCAAAAGACAUUGAAAAUAUUCUGACAUAUAUGAUGAGAAAAAAACAUCAACACAAAGAUGAUGCCACUAGUACCUCACACCUUCUAGAGGGCCCUUUUAAAGACGAUGUUAUUUUUUAUCAGCCUUAUAGUCCUCAAACAGAUCUUAUCAUAGUUCUCCAAAUACCAUCCAUGAGAGA